ensembl:miRNA Gm26116 predicted gene, 26116
CCUGGAACUCCCUUUGUAGACCAGGCUGGACUCAAACUCACAGAGAUCUGCCUGCCUCCAUCUCCUGAGUGCUGGGA